UGAGGAACAUGACCUUCGGCGGGGGAUAGCCGGCCCAACGGCCGGGUAAUACCGCGUACGACCGUCCGGGGACAUCCUUGGAUGGUGAAAGCAGCAAUGCGCCGAUGGAGUGCCUCGCGGCCUAUCAGCUAGUUGGCGAGGUAACGGCUCACCAAGGCAACGGACGGGUANCUGGUCUGAGAGGAUGGCCAGCCACAUUGGACUGAGACACCGGACCCAAAACUCCGUACGGGAGNAGCG
rnacentral:rRNA from 1 species